AAGCAGUGGAACUGGAAAGGGAAAGUGAAGAAGAUAGUUAUUUUUUCAGUAACUGCAGUCAUCUUGAGUAAAAUUGCUAUUGUCUCAGUACCAUCUUUGGAACACUUGCUGGCAGCUUCCACAACAGAUGAUGAAGCUCAAAUGGUCUCUUCAGAUUGUUAAACAUUCCAAGAUGCUUUGGUAGUAGCUGAACAUGGCCCUUUCCUCUGCUUCCUUACGUGAUGCUGAAGAAAUCCCAACAAUGGAAAACUGAUUUAGUGAAAAGUUAGUCCGUUUGGUCCUGCUUCAUGACACUUCUGAAGUGGUGGGGAGUCUUUGCCACAGACCUGGGCCCCAAGCUGAGAAGUGCUGAGAAGAGGACAGUGCUGACAGCCUGGUCUGGUGAUGGACCACAGUGAGAUUGGUGGUGGUCUGAGAAAAGAGAACUUGAUCACUGAAGUGAGCAGCAGAGUUCCCUUGUGACCAUUUUCUGCAGGCUCCUUUCCUGAUCCCUAGGCAGUGCACAAGAGAGCUGAAGAAACAAUAAUUUCAUCAGCUACUCCAUGUAUUAUAAAGACUAUUCUGUGCACAGCUGCAGAGAGCAGCAC